AACUCAUUCAAAAUACCUCUUAAAUCCUUUCCUGUAAAAUAAAACCUCCGUUAAACCGCUCCUCUCUGCUCACUCACUAGCACACAGAUCCUCGUGAAAAUUGGGCGAACCGAGAAGAAAAAAGAAAGUUCUUGAAGGUUUUCUUUCUUGUUUCCAAAUACAAACACAUUUCAGAAAACAAACGACCUAAAGGAAAUGGAUGUUGAGAAGAAGAUAUGGGCAGCAUCCGCUAUGCUUUUCUUGACUGUGGGUAUGGGCUCUCUUGGUCACGCAGCAUUGCUUGUUGGCACAGUUGUCGCAACACUACUGGGCGGACUUUUUUAAGUCCGUGAUUUUCCUCCAGUACUGAAUAUUAGGCCUCCCAUUGAAUGUUUGUAACAUUGAAUUUAGAAGUUUGCAAUGUAAAUUGCAUUGGAUUAUAAUUUUUAA